AUUGAACGCUGGCGGCAGGCCUAACACAUGCAAGUCGAACGAGUGGCGGACGGGUGAGUAAUGUCUGGGAAACUGCCUGAUGGAGGGGGAUAACUACUGGAAACGGGAGCUAAUCCCGCAUACCAUCAGAUGUGCCGAGAUGGGAUUAGCUUGUUGGUGGGGGAACGGCUCACCAAGGAGACGAUCCCUAGCUGGUCUGAGAGGAUGACCAGCCACACUGGAACGAAGACACGGGCCAGACUCCUACGGGAGGCAGCAGUGGGGAAUAUGGGACAAUGGGCGCAAGCCUGAUGCAGCCAUGCCGGGUGUAUGAAGAAGGCCAUCGGGUUGUAAAGUACUUUAAGCGGGGAGGCGUUACCCGCAGAAGAAGCACCGGCUAACUCCGUGCCAGCAGCCGCGGUAAUAC
rnacentral:rRNA from 1 species